UUGAAGAGAAGGACGCAGCCGAUUGUCAACAACAAUAGUAUUUGUUUUGGAUAAUUUAACAAGACAACCAAUAUCAAGGAGCUAUGAAUAGUAAUAAAUACUCGAGAAUAUACUACAGCAAUAUAACAAGGAAUGGACAGAGGAGUUGACUAUGGAUAAUGACUGAUACUGGAAUGAAGGAACCUAUAUGCAGGGUCAAAUGAUUCAAUGCCUGACAGUCCAUUUUUAUAUGUACAUAAAAUGUAUGUUGACAGCCAAUGCUCCCAAGAUGUAAGUGGAAGUGAAGCUAUACAAUAAAUGAAUGAAUUGAUUAGAUAUACAUGUAGAGGAGACUCUAGAUCAACAGUACAUGUAACUUAAACUGGAACUGUAGGAAGUAUUCCAAGAGUCUGAUUGCUAAGUAUGCAUUACAGGAUUUUAUUAUUGGAGCAACAUCUUAGGAUGAUAAGUGCAAAUGUAUAAAGGAAUCCUUGGGAACAAAACGCAAUUAUAUGCAGAAGAGGAGUCUUAAACAUUAUUAACAGAGUCAAAGUAGUGGUGUAUUCAAGAAGUGUAAACCAACUGGAAUUAACUAUUGUGUAUAUUUUUUCAACCUCAAGUACUUUCAGAAUUAUAAUACAAUUCAAAUUAUUGUGUCAACAUACAUGUUACAGUAAAAAAUGAAAAUGUUUUAAAAUGAAUUUUAUAUAAAAAAAUGAAAUAACAUUUUUUUUUAGCUUAUUGUGCAGCCAAGCUUUGAGAUCAACAUUAUGCAUUAACCUUAAGAUCAGGGUUAAAAUGAGAAAAACAAACUAUUUUUGCAUAUAUGAAAUAAGAAGUAAAUGAUUGUAAAUUACAGAGAGACUUUCAAUAUGGUACAUU